GGGCGAUUCGUCCAGUUGGUUAGGACGCCACAUUCACAUUGUGGAGGUCAGUGGUUCGAGUCCACUAUCGCCCACCA
rnacentral:tRNA from 1 species